rnacentral:rRNA from 1 species
AACGCGAAGAACCUUACCUACUCUUGACAUCCACGGAAUUUGGCAGAGAUGCUUUAGUGCCUUCGGGAACCGUGAGACAGGUGCUGCAUGGCUGUCGUCAGCUCGUGUUGUGAAAUGUUGGGUUAAGUCCCGCAACGAGCGCAACCCUUAUCCUUUGUUGCCAGCACGUAAUGGUGGGAACUCAAAGGAGACUGCCGGUGAUAAACCGGAGGAAGGUGGGGAUGACGUCAAGUCAUCAUGGCCCUUACGAGUAGGGCUACACACGUGCUACAAUGGCAUAUACAAAGAGAAGCGAACUCGCGAGAGCAAGCGGACCUCAUAAAGUAUGUCGUAGUCCGGAUUGGAGUCUGCAACUCGACUCCAUGAAGUCGGAAUCGCUAGUAAUCGUAGAUCAGAAUGCUACGGUGAAUACGUUCCCGGGCCUUGUACACACCGCCCGU